UACGUAGGGCGCGAGCGUUGUCCGGAAUUAUUGGGCGUAAAGAGCUCGUAGGCGGCCUGUUGCGUCCGCUGUGAAAGCCCGGGGCUUAACCCCGGGUCGGCAGUGGAUACGGGCAGGCUAGAGGUAGGUAGGGAAGAAUGGAAUUCCCGGUGUAGCGGUGAAAUGCGCAGAUAUCGGGAGGAACGCCGGUGGCGAAGGCGGCCACCUGGGCCGACCCUGACGCUGAGGCGCGAAGGCGUGGGGAGCGAACGGG
rnacentral:rRNA from 1 species